CCUACGGUAGGCAGCAGUGGGGAAUAUUGCGCAAUGGGCGAAAGCCUGACGCAGCGACGCCGCGUGAGGGAUGAAGGUCUUCGGAUCGUAAACCUCUGUCAGCAGGGAAGAACGGUCACUGUGCUAAUCAGCAGUGAAUUGACGGUACCUGCAAAGGAAGCACAGGCUAACUCCGUGCCAGCAGCCGCGGUAAUACGGAGGGUGCGAGCUUUAAUCGGAAUUACUGGGCGUACAGCGCUCGUCGGCGGUAUGUCAAGUCAAGGGUGAAAUCCCCGCGCUCAACGUGGGAACUGACAUUGAAACUGGCAAACGAGAGUGUGUUAGAGGAUAGUGGAAUUCCAGGUGGAGGAGUGAAAUCCGUAUAUAUCUGGAGGAACAUCAGUGGCGAAGGCGACUAUCUGGCACAUAACUGACGCUGAGGAGCGAAAGCGUGGGUAGCAAACAGGAUUAGAUACCCGAGUAGUC
rnacentral:rRNA from 1 species